UUUAGAUUUCCCAGUCUUCAGCAUAUUUUACCGGUCAUAGUCCGGUAAUUACCGGCCAACGGGAACUCUGCUCCUAUGACUGGUUGCAGAAUUGAAGGGAACGACUUCCUGGCCUUCCUGACAUCCAGGAAAAAGGUGAGAUUCUAAUCCAUUUCAAUGCCAAAAGCAAGUUAUUGUUUUUAACUUUUUUAAUAUGAUUUUGUUGGGGAAUUUCUGUUUUAUUGGACGGUAGAGAUCUACUGGAAACAGUGGAGAUGAUAUGCAGCAAAAGGCCCAGACGGAUGGUUGCUGCUCCGUGUGGAACGUGUUCUAUCAGGUGUAACAUCUACCAAUGAUUGUACAUGACAUAUACCUCCUCCACCUCUUUGCUGUCCUACUAGUCAACCCUUCUGAUCAGAGCCUUUCCUAAAUAGUGAAAGGAUCAUGCCAGCCCACAUCAAACACCUGAUCAAGAACUUGUGAAUCUUCAGGCAGAAAAGAUCAACCGAUAUGGCUUUUUCAAGGCCGAUACCGAUUAUUAGUAAUCAAGGAGACCAAUAACCGAUAUUUGGAACCGAUAUACAUUUGCAGUAAAAUCAGAAUAUCUUGGUGUCAAAAUGUAGAAUAACACAAACUCCAACACAACUCAACACAACUUCUUUGAAAUGCAUUUAAGCAUAUAU